rnacentral:rRNA from 1 species
GGGUAAUGGAUAAUAGUUUUGUGGACAAGUAAACUCCCCGUGUGUCCAUUGGGCUGGAUGCACGGUGGUAGGGUAGACCCGGUCU